rnacentral:rRNA from 1 species
CAGUCGCCGCGGGAAUACGUAGGUCCCGAGCGUUGUCCGGAUUUAUUGGGCGUAAAGCGAGCGCAGGCGGUUAGAUAAGUCUGAAGUUAAAGGCUGUGGCUUAACCAUAGUACGCUUUGGAAACUGUUUAACUUGAGUGCAAGAGGGGAGAGUGGAAUUCCAUGUGUAGCGGUGAAAUGCGUAGAUAUAUGGAGGAACACCGGUGGCGAAAGCGGCUCUCUGGCUUGUAACUGACGCUGAGGCUCGAAAGCGUGGGGAGCAAACAGGAUUAGAUACCCGAGUAGUCCCUGUCUCUUAUACA